GAAGCCAUCGGGGGCAAAGGCAACAACAAAAGCUACGCGGCACGCUAGCGCUCACACUGUAGGCUUUCACACGGGCAGAAUGCAGCAGAUGUCUUUGUUGCUCUGCCUUCUCAUCAGUGCAGGGUCCACUUUUGGAGUAAAAAUUUACCAAACUCCACCAAUCUCGUUAAUGCCAAUACAAACCAAACCUGUGGCCCUGAACUGUCAGCAUGACGAUGCAACUCAUGGUUAUCUGUUCUGGUACAGACAGAGGAUCAAUGGAGAACUGAUCAUGAUUGGUUAUUCUGUUGGGAAAGAUAACACCAAUAUAGAGAAACCUUUUAGUAGUUCAAAAUACACACUCACUCGUCCGGACGUGUUGAAGUCCAUGCUGGAGAUUAAGGAUCUGGUAUCUGCAGACUCUGCCACAUACUUCUGUGCUACCAGUAUUGCACAGUGACACCGUUCAGCAUCUCAACUGCACAACAACCUCCUCACAGCUGAGACGAUAUGAUCUGUAAUUCAUUAAUCUAGUCUGCCCUCUGAUGU